CUUCAUUUUGCUGUGAACCUUAAAUGGCUCCCCAAGAUAAAUUCUAUUAUGUUUAAAAGGAAGAAGAGAGAAACCGGGCAUUCUCUCUGACAAAAGGUAAAUGGGUAUCAGGCUGAAUUCUCUUCCCAGGAAAAAGAAAGAAAUCAC
ensembl:misc_RNA